AUGCUUAACACAUGCAAGUCGAACGGAAACGACACUAACAAUCCUUCGGGUGCGUUAAUGGGCGUCGAGCGGCGGACGGGUGAGUAAUGCCUAGGAAAUUGCCUUGAUGUGGGGGAUAACCAUUGGAAACGAUGGCUAAUACCGCAUAAUGCCUACGGGCCAAAGAGGGGGAUCUUCGGACCUCUCGCGUCAAGAUAUGCCUAGGUGGGAUUAGCUAGUUGGUGAGGUAAUGGCUCACCAAGGCGACGAUCCCUAGCUGGUCUGAGAGGAUGAUCAGCCACACUGGAACUGAGACACGGUCCAGACUCCUACGGGAGGCAGCAGUGGGGAAUAUUGCACAAUGGGCGUAAGCCUGAUGCAGCCAUGCCGCGUGUAUGAAGAAGGCCUUCGGGUUGUAAAGUACUUUCAGUUGUGAGGAAGGGGGUAACGUUAAUAGCGUUAUCUCUUGACGUUAGCAACAGAAGAAGCACCGGCUAACUCCGUGCCAGCAGCCGCGGUAAUACGGAGGGUGCGAGCGUUAAUCGAAAUUACUGGGCGUAAAGCGCAUGCAGGUGGUUCAUUAAGUCAGAUGUGAAAGCCCGGGGCUCAACCUCGGAACUGCAUUUGAAACUGGUGAACUAGAGUGCUGUAGAGGGGGGUAGAAUUUCAGGUGUAGCGGUGAAAUGCGUAGAGAUCGGAAGGAACACCAGUGG
rnacentral:rRNA from 1 species